UGUUAAAGCAGACCCCAGGAAGACUCACAAAAAAUCACAUCAAGUUGCCUGUCAUGAUUUUGUAUUGGGGAGCUGAGAAUGAAAUGGAGCAGGACCUGGAGGACAAAGAAACUUAAGGAACACCUGAAUGCCGUUGAUGGUAUGAAGUGCAAGAGGACAUACAAGCUCUGUUUCUUGUCCCACAGAGGCUUUUUAGCAUGCCAGUCACCAUGAAAUGAGGACAACCUCCAGUACAGGCUGAUGAGUAGUUACUUUUCCUGCUGCUGCUGAAGCCACUGGAAAAAUCUGAUUGAUCCAGGAUGUCACGUCAGAGCCUAAUUCCCCUUUCUGCAAGCACCCAUAUGCUCAUGUUCAGUGCUUACUAAAAGGGCCUGGCAGCCCAGCAAGAUAAUAAAAGAUAAAGCAAACUGUACGACAAUGGAAAAUGCUGAGCUCCCCGAGUAAUUAAAGUUGUGUAAGACGGUGGCAUGUCUUGCAAGGCUUAUUAAUACAGUCACGUUUGCAUUA